UAAAGGUUUGGUCCUAGCCUUACUGUCAACUACUCCCCACAUUACACAUGCAAGUAUCCGCAUUCCCGUGAAAACGCCCCCUUCCCUCUCCCAGGGCGGGGAGCCGGUAUCAGGAACACUCAGCCCAAAACACCUAGCUUCGCCACACCCACAAGGGUAUUCAGCAGUGACAGACAUUGUUCAUAAGCGCCAGCUUGAACCAGGCAAGGAAGAUAGAGUCGGCCAAUUCGGUGCCAGCCGCCGCGGCUAUACCUUUGACUCAAAUUGACAGACCUACGGCGUCAAGCGUGGUUAAAGUGAACAAAAAUUAGAGUCCUACUUACGCCAAGCUGUGACAAACUUGCCCUAAAGAUACCCGAACACGAAAGUUAUUCUAACCUACCUACUUGACCCCACGACAGCUAGGACACAAACUGGAAUUAGGAACUCCACUAUGCCUAGCCGUAAAAUAUUAACUUACAACAAAAUCGCCAGGGGAUUACGAGCUUUAGCUUAAAACCCAAAGGACUUGACGGUGUCCCACCCACCUAGAGGAGCCUGUUCUAUAAUCGAUUCCCCCCGCUACACCCAACCACUUCUCGCCAACCAGCCUGUAUACCUCCGUCGUAAGCCUACCAUAUGAGCGAAAUUAGUAAGCUAAAUGAUUUUUACACCAACACGUCAGGUCAAGGUGCAGCUAACGAACUGGAAAGAAAUGGGCUACAAUUUCUAACUUAGAACACACGAAAAACUACAUGAAACAGUUCAUGAAGGCGGAUUUAGUAGUAAAAAGAAAAAAGAGUGUUCUUUUUAACAAGGCACUGGGACGCGUACACACCGCCCGUCACCCUCUUCAAACGCACCACUCACCGUUUUUAACACCCACACGCCAUUAAGAAGAGGCAAGUCGUAACAUGGUAAGCGUACCGGAAGGUGCGCUUGGAUAAACA
rnacentral:ncRNA from 1 species